CGAACGCUGGCGGCGUGCUUAACACAUGCAAGUCGAACGGAAAGGCCCUGCUUUUGUGGGGUGCUCGAGUGGCGAACGGGUGAGUAACACGUGAGUAACCUGCCCUUGACUUUGGGAUAACUUCAGGAAACUGGGGCUAAUACCGGAAAGGAGCUCCUGCUGCAUGGUGGGGGUUGGAAAGUUUCGGCGGUUGGGGAUGGACUCGCGGCUUAUCAGCUUGUUGGUGGGGUAGUGGCUUACCAAGGCUUUGACGGGUAGCCGGCCUGAGAGGGUGACCGGCCACAUUGGGACUGAGAUACGGCCCAGACUCCUACGGGAGGCAGCAGUGGGGAAUAUUGCACAAUGGGCGGAAGCCUGAUGCAGCAACGCCGCGUGCGGGAUGACGGCCUUCGGGUUGUAAACCGCUUUCGCCUGUGACGAAGCGUGAGUGACGGUAAUGGGUAAAGAAGCACCGGCUAACUACGUG
rnacentral:rRNA from 1 species